ensembl:snoRNA
AUCUUUUUGUAGUUCAUGAGCACAAUGAUUGGGUUUUCUCAUGAAUGUGUGAGAUGUGCCACCCUCUGAACCUUUUUAUGAUCUUGGCACAUUACCCAUCUGACC